CUCUGCGGACCACUUGUCUCUAGUUCUUGGCUGACACAGACAUUCCCUGCCCAGGGAAGUGUUUGAUUUAUGUUGAGGUUUAGGUGUCAGGAUUUUGCUGACAGUUUCCUCCCCGGUGAAGUUAGUACCAGGAGGACUAAACAAGGUAAGCGAGCGGCCUUCGGAUAUGCCAGGCAGUGUCCUUGUGCUUAGAAGCCUAAUGAAGAAUUGCCGUGAAAGUCCCCAUUUUACAGAAGAGGAGCAGGCUUGGAGAAGUGACGUAGCAUCUGAGAACACCUGGCUGUCUGCAUUGUGACAGAGAAUCAAACAGAUUUCUGUCAGAGCCCUGCUGGUGACACCACUGACACUCCUACUGGAGGUUUCCUGAACGUCCAGACUCAUCGUACGGUCUCAAGCCACCCUGAAGCCUUACAGUAAAAGCAGAGAGCCUCUGCACACGCCCCAC